rnacentral:rRNA from 1 species
AACGAACGCUGGCGGCAUGCCUAACACAUGCAAGUCGAACGAGACCUUCGGGUCUAGUGGCGCACGGGUGCGUAACGCGUGGGAAUCUGCCCUUGGGUUCGGAAUAACAGUUGGAAACGACAGCUAAUACCGGAUGAUGACGUAAGUCCAAAGAUUUAUCGCCCAAGGAUGAGCCCGCGUAGGAUUAGCUAGUUGGUGAGGUAAAGGCUCACCAAGGCGACGAUCCUUAGCUGGUCUGAGAGGAUGAUCAGCCACACUGGGACUGAGACACGGCCCAGACUCCUACGGGAGGCAGCAGUGGGGAAUAUUGGACAAUGGGCGAAAGCCUGAUCCAGCAAUGCCGCGUGAGUGAUGAAGGCCUUAGGGUUGUAAAGCUCUUUUACCCGGGAUGAUAAUGACAGUACCGGGAGAAUAAGCGCCGGCUAACUCCGUG